GCCAGUGUGGGAAACUGCUCCUGCUGCUUCACUGCUGGGGAAUGCUCCUGGGAAGGCAAACCCUGAGAGCAGGGGAAGAAUGUGGCUGCUGUCCCUGCUCCUGCAGCGUGUGGGGAGUGCAGACUCCAGGUCAGAGGCAGAUCUUUCCCUGAAGCAUGUCCCUGCUGAGCCAGCAGCCUUUCCUGUCACUGGAACUCACUUGCCCAAAGGGUCAGGAUGAGCAGAGGGAAGGGCUCCUUACAUCCCUGCAGAAUCAAGUUACUCAGGAAGAUGCAGUCACACAAAUGACAGCAGAUCAUCAGCUCUUUGCAAAUGAACAACUUCCCACCAGUUUUCUUAGUCUGUUCUAAGCCUUGAAUAGAGAGAGGGAUAAAGAGGUCAAUAUGAGGUCAAUAAGA